rnacentral:rRNA from 1 species
CACUCCUACGGGAGGCAGCAGUGGGGAAUAUUGCACAAUGGGCGCAAGCCUGAUGCAGCCAUGCCGCGUGUAUGAAGAAGGCCUUCGGGUUGUAAAGUACUUUCAGCGGGGAGGAAGGCAAUACGGUUAAUAACCGUGUUGAUUGACGUUACCCGCAGAAGAAGCACCGGCUAACUCCGUGCCAGCAGCCGCGGUAAUACGGAGGGUGCAAGCGUUAAUCGGAAUUACUGGGCGUAAAGCGCACGCAGGCGGUCUGUCAAGUCGGAUGUGAAAUCCCCGGGCUCAACCUGGGAACUGCAUUCGAAACUGGCAGGCUUGAGUCUUGUAGAGGGGGGUAGAAUUCCAGGUGUAGCGGUGAAAUGCGUAGAGAUCUGGAGGAAUACCGGUGGCGAAGGCGGCCCCCUGGACAAAGACUGACGCUCAGGUGCGAAAGCGUGGGGAGCAAACAGGAUUAGAAACCCUUGUAGUCCCAU